UUUUAACGGCUGCGGUAUUUUGACCGUGCUAAGGUAGCAUAAUCAAUUGUUUUUUAAUUGAAAACUAGUAUGAACGGUUUAAUAAGCUUAAUUAGUUUGUAAUUUUUAAUAGUAAAUUAAAUAUAAAGUAAGAAUUCUUUAAUAAAUUAGGGGACGAUAAGACCCUAAAAGCUUUAUGAGUAGUAUUUAAUUGGUGUUAGUAAGUGUAUUAAUUCACUGGGGCAGUGAAUUUAUUUGUAUUAAGGUAUAAUUAAGAGACCCUUUAAAUAAAGAUUUAAUGUGUGAGUUACUUUAGGGAUAACAGUGCAAUAUAUUU
rnacentral:rRNA from 1 species